ACAGUCAUGGCUGAGUGGUUAAGGCGAUGCACUAGAAAUCCAUUGGGGUCUCCCCACACAGAUUCGAAUCCUGUCAACUGCA
rnacentral:tRNA from 1 species